GGAGUGUGGCUGUGGGGCCUUUGUGUUUGGGAUUGCCAGAUGGGAGGAUUGGCAGAGCAAUGAAUCAUUUCUUGGUAACUGCGAGGUCUGAAGCAUAUGAAACAGUCUCCUUUGCUCAACUACAGAAUUCUGCUUUAAGUUACUUUUGGGGGCAAUAUUCAUGCUUGGAACAAAACAAAAAUCAAGGAAUCUUCUACAAAGUGCCCAGGAAUUGGAGUUAUAAAGAUACCAGAAUGUUAAUAGAUUUGACUCAGAGUUCAUGAGGUCGAACUUGUUGGUCUUCCCGUAUGACUAACAGUGCAAAAACCUGGAAUCAACUCAGUUAAUCUUGGGCAUAAAAUAACCAGCACUGAAGAUUGCACAUCCAUAAAUCAAUAGAGACUAACCUCUGAUUUAUUGCUGUUUGGGCCACAUGUUCUACUUUCACCAUAAAAGCAGAUAAAGGUAACUAUAAUUAAAAUGUCUAUUUCCUUUUCUA